GGAUGUAAGAGCCAUCUGGCUGCAACACCUGUCACCCCAUUCAUCGUCAAGGUUGAUUCAGCUGAUCUGGCUGGUAGGUGGGUGUCUCCUUCCUCCCUCACCACUCCAUGUGGGUCCUGUGGAAGCUGCAUCUCAGUGGAAGAGGAUGAUGACUUUCCCUGGUAGAAGAGAGGACCUUUCUUCGGUCAAGGGUAUACGAGUAGCUGUGCUCUCCUGCUAGAAUUUCUCAAGGUCCAUUUGUGCGACAAGUAGGUUAGGCAAGCUUCCAAGAUUCCAGACACAUCUAAAUGAGGCACUGUAUGUAGCAGUCUGCUUUCCUUA
ensembl:misc_RNA 7SK 7SK RNA